rnacentral:lncRNA from 1 species
AUGCAAGCUGACUCAAUGACCACACGCACUGGGCUAGUGCUCACAAGUUCAUCAAUUUCUUCUCAUUCUGUCCUCUUUCACAAACCUGCCACCGAAGCAAGAGUCAUCACCUCUUACAGGAAAUACCAGGUAGGUGUGCUGUCAGCUCUUAUCACACAGAGAGGUCAUCUGGGAUUGGCUUCUGGUUGGACCUCGUGGCUUGGGUUUUUUUCCCCUACUCCUGUCUUGGAGCAAACCCAGGGGAAGUACAGUUUCCAGAUACAAUCCUUUCACUUUCUACUGCCACUUGUCCCUCCUUGCCAACCCUCAUCCUAUUACUUGCUUUCCUCUGGACCAGCCAAGAGCCUAGAACAGGAAAAAGCAAGCAGAAGGGGCAGGGGCCUUGGGGACCAGAGGUAAGCAGAUCCACAGAAGGGCAGUAGGGCAGGAAGGUGGGGGAGCAGGCCAAGAUCCCUCAGGUCUCUAUAGAAUGGUCUUUGGGUGGGUUGUAAUGAUGUCGAGAAGUUUAAUCUGUCUGUGGCCAACCAUCUUCCUUACAGAAGUGCCCCGCGCUGGGGUCCUCUACGCUGAUAAAUGGUGCUUAAUUGAACUAAAGCUCUGGGUGGUGGCCUGUGUAAUUUAGUCACUCAGCAAAUAUUUACUGAAUUCCUACUAAGUCCAGCUACCCUCCUGGAUAGCAUGGGUGAGGGUGGAAAUAAUGCAGGAAAAAAAAACCCACUUUUUUUCACUCCUGCUGUCACUUAGUGGAGAGCAGAGGACUUUAAGGGAAUAAGCAGGACCAAGCCAGCUUUGAUCUCUGCAGAGAGAUGUCUCUGGAACAGGAAAUGCUAUGGGAAAGGGACAGAGCUGGGUGCCUUCACGGCAGAGAAGGGGCUGGAUGGUCAGGCAACAGGUGAUCAGAGGAAGCGUAGAGUCAGGGAUGGAGACUUCCUGACCAAAGAUUGUGCCUCUACUUAAAGUUUUGUCUAGAGCUGAGAGACAAAGUAGGUAAAGCCCCAAACCCAGUUCAUGGUAUAUAGUAGGUUCUCAAUACAAUGUUUUGUUUUUUUUUCUCUCCUUAUUGUUUCUCUUUUCCUUUCCCUCUUCUCUUUUAUUUUUAUUUCUUUUACUUUCUCCAUCCUUUCCUGUAUCUAAUUGGAUUCCACUUCUACCUCCUUCUUAGCGUUAGCUGCAGCAUGGUUGGCAAACCUUUUCUGUAAAAGCCCAGGCAGUAAAUAUUUUAGGCUUUGCAGGCCAGACUGUCUGUGUCACAACUACUCAGCUUUGUCGUCACAGUGUGUAGGCAGCUGAAGAGAACAUAUAAAUGGAUGACUGUGGCUGUGUUCCAGCAUAGCUUCAGUUAUGGGCACUGAGAUUUGAAUUUCAUAUAUUUUCCACAUGUUACAAAAUAUUAUCCUUC